rnacentral:rRNA from 1 species
UACGAAGGGUGCAAGCGUUACUCGGAAUUACUGGGCGUAAAGGGCGCGUAGGCGGUUCUUUAAGUCUGCUGUGAAAGCCCCGGGCUCAACCUGGGAAUGGCAGUGGAUACUGGAGAGCUAGAGUGCGGUAGAGGGUAGUGGAAUUCCCGGUGUAGCAGUGAAAUGCGUAGAGAUCGGGAGGAACACCAGUGGCGAAGGCGGCUACCUGGACCAGCACUGACGCUGAAGCACGAAAGCGUGGGGAGCAAACAGG